UUUGACGGCCAUAGCGGAGGGGAAACACCUGGUCCCAUCCCGAACCCAGAAGUUAAGCUCUCCGCGUACCGUCUUGUACUAUGUUGCGCGAGCACAUGGGAAGGAUGGUAUGCUGUCAAGC
rnacentral:rRNA from 1 species